CCCUGGUUAGCUCAGUUGGUAGAGCGCUCCACUGGAAAUGGAGAGGUCCCGGGUUCGAUCCCCGGACCAAGCA
rnacentral:tRNA from 1 species